rnacentral:rRNA from 1 species
UACAGAGGGUGCGAGCGUUGUUCGGAAUUACUGGGCGUAAAGCGCGUGUAGGCUGCUCGGAAAGUCGGAUGUGAAAGCCCUGGGCUCAACCUAGGAAGUGCAUUCGAAACUUCCGAGCUGGAGUGCUGGAGAGGAAGGCGGAAUUCUCGGUGUAGAGGUGAAAUUCGUAGAUAUCGAGAGGAACACCGGUGGCGAAGGCGGCCUUCUGGACAGCGACUGACGCUGAGACGCGAAAGCGUGGGGAGCGAACAGG